rnacentral:rRNA from 1 species
UACAGAGGGGGCAAGCGUUGUUCGGAAUUACUGGGCGUAAAGAGCGCGCAGGCGGUCGUUCAAGUCGCGUGUGAAAGCCCCCGGCUCAACUGGGGAGGGUCACGCGAUACUGAUCGACUGGAAGGCAGGAGAGGGUAGUGGAAUUCCCGGUGUAGUGGUGAAAUGCGUAGAUAUCGGGAGGAACACCAGUGGCGAAGGCGACUACCUGGCCUGUUCUUGACGCUGAGGCGCGAAAGCUAGGGGAGCAAACGGG